UGAGGAAUAUUGGUCAAUGGACGCAAGUCUGAACCAGCCACGUCGCGUGAAGGAAGACGGCCCUAUGGGUUGUAAACUUCUUUUGUAAGGGAAUAAAGUGCAGUACGUGUACUGUUUUGCAUGUACCUUACGAAUAAGGAUCGGCUAACUCCGUGCCAGCAGCCGCGGUAAUACGGAGGAUCCGAGCGUUAUCCGGAUUUAUUGGGUUUAAAGGGUGCGCAGGCGGGAGAUUAAGUCGGCGGUGAAAUUUUGCAGCUUAACUGUAAAAGUGCCAUCGAUACUGGUUUCCUUGAGUGUAGAUGAAGUAGGCGGAAUUUGUGGUGUAGCGGUGAAAUGCAUAGAUAUCACGAGGAACUCCGAUUGCGCAGGCAGCUUACUAAACUACUACUGACGCUCAGGC
rnacentral:rRNA from 1 species